AUUGAACGCUGGCGGCAUGCCUUACACAUGCAAGUCGAACGGCAGCACGGGAGCAAUCCUGGUGGCGAGUGGCGAACGGGUGAGUAAUAUAUCGGAACGUGCCCAGUCGUGGGGGAUAACGCAGCGAAAGCUGUGCUAAUACCGCAUACGAUCUACGGAUGAAAGCGGGGGAUCGCAAGACCUCGCGCGAUUGGAGCGGCCGAUAUCAGAUUAGCUAGUUGGUGGGGUAAAGGCCCACCAAGGCGACGAUCUGUAGCUGGUCUGAGAGGACGACCAGCCACACUGGAACUGAGACACAGUCCAGACUCCUACGGGAGGCAGCAGCGGGGAAUUUUGGACAAUGGGCGCAAGCCUGAUCCAGCAAUGCCGCGUGCAGGAUGAAGGCCUUCGGGUUGUAAACUGCUUUUGUACGGAACGAAACGGCUCCUUCUAAUACAAGGGGCUAAUGACGGUACCGUAAGAAUAAGCACCGGCUAACUACGUGCCAGCCGCCGCCGUAACAC
rnacentral:rRNA from 1 species